AAAUCCCCCCGGGGAGUUGUAAUUUGAAGAUUGCGUCUUGGAGGCGACCGUGUCUAUGUUCCUUGGAACAGGACGUCACAGAGGGUGAGAAUCCCGUGCGGCACGGCCCCCGGCUCCUUAUAAGGCGCUCUCGACGAGUCGAGUUGUUUGGGAAUGCAGCUCAAAGUGGGUGGUAAAUUCCAUCUAAAGCUAAAUACAGGCGAGAGACCGAUAGCGAACAAGUACAGUGAUGGAAAGAUGAAAAGCACUUUGAAAAGAGAGUGAAACAGCACGUGAAAUUGUUGAAAGGGAAGGGCAUGCCGUCAGAUUGUCAGUGUGGGUAAGAAGCGGGGUACAAAGACUGUGGAACGUGGCCCUCGGGUGUUAUAGCCGCAGUUCAUGCCCCGUCUC
rnacentral:rRNA from 1 species